AACGGGUCAGAGACAACGGGACCUGGUGAGAUGAAGCAGAAUCAUGGUUAGAGGUCAGAGGGGACAUAGGGGACCAGGCAUGGAAUGACAGAACCAAGAGAAAGAAGCUGGAGAUGUCCACAGAGGCAGGAGCCUAAGAGUCUAAUUUUUAAUUAGGAGCUGCAACGUCUCUUCGGUGGACCAGGCUCAGGCUCUGAGUCUAGGCACAGCCACAGCAGCAGCUGGGAGACCCAGGAAGCAUGAAUAACACCAAGAUAACAACCUACAGCAUCAAUGGUAAUAACCGUGAACGCUUAAGGACGCUUUUAACCGGAACCGGCAGAGGCUCUUUUAACCACUCACUGCCCCAGCACCACAGGGUGAAGAAGUACUAAAGAUCACGGCUUUCAAAGGAACCGAGGCCCAGCAAGGUUAAGACCCUCCUUCUGAGCCCCACCCCACCCCCAAUGCUAGAAGCCCUCACCCAGAGUUUUCAGGUCUCAAGAGUUCUUGUACUCGCAGGGCCUUGGCCUACCUGUAAAAUGGGAAUAGAGAAGCCUAAAGUCCCUAAUGUUGUGAUAGAUAACUCUGGGCCAGACCGGAUGCUGCGAGAUGCUAUAGACACCACCCUUUGGGAGCUCCUGGUCUCAGGGACACACAGAGACAUCUAACCAUCUAACGGUUCAUCCAGAGAACAUGUGAACACAUACCAUAGCUAACAUGGUAGGGUAGUGACAGGUCUUGAACAAGUGAGGUCCAUGGUGAGGCUCUCCUUCCCUCUGGCUAGCCUAUGGGAUGCUCAGGGAGAGGAUGUGGUCCACUUAACCCAAACCCUGGGUCAGAUCUCCAAGAAACUUAGACCCACAAGUUACACCAGACUGACAUUGAGAUGCAAAUUGCUACUAAAUACACUGUUUCUUUUCUUUUCUUAAAAAGCAGACCCCAGAGCUGCUUGCCCCUGCCUCCUAAUUAAAGCACUACACCUGA